CCUACGGGAGGCAGCAGUGGGGAAUAUUGCACAAUGGGGGAAACCCUGAUGCAGCGACGCCGCGUGAGUGAAGAAGUAAUUCGUUAUGUACAGCACUAUCAGCCGGGAAGAAAAUGACGGUGCCUGAGUCCGCAGCCACGGCUAACUACGUGCCAGCAGCCGCGGUAAUACGGAGGGGGCAAGCGUUAUUCGGAUUUACUGGGUGUAAAGUGAACCUAGACGGCUGGGCAAGUCUGGAGUGAAAGGCGGGGGAUCAACCCCGGGACUGCUCUGGAUACUGUCCGGCGGGAGUGCAGGAGAGGUAAGUAGAAUUCCAGGUGUAGCGGUGAAAUGCGUAGAGAUUUGGAGGAACACCAGUGGCGAAGGCGGCUUACUGGAC
rnacentral:rRNA from 1 species